CCCGUCACACCAUGGGAGUCGAUUGCUCCAGAAGUGGCUGCGCCAACCUCGCAAGAGGAGGCAGGUCCCCAAGGAAGUGCUCGGUAACUGGGGUG
rnacentral:rRNA from 1 species